GAACGCCGUGUGCCAUGAAAGUGGCCCGCACGGUGUAGGCUCGAACGAAAGCCCACAAAUAGAUAAGGGUAU
rnacentral:misc_RNA from 1 species